rfam:Kluyvera intermedia strain CAV1151, complete genome.
GAAGCUGACCAGACAGUCGCCGCUUCGUCGUUGUCCUCCUUCGGGGGAGACAGGCGGAGGGGAGGAAAGUCCGGGCUCCAUAGGGCAGGGUGCCAGGUAACGCCUGGGGGGUGUAACAGCCUACGACCAGUGCAACAGAGAGCAAACCGCCGAUGGCCCACGCAAGUGGGAUCAGGUAAGGGUGAAAGGGUGCGGUAAGAGCGCACCGCGCGGCUGGUAACAGUUCGCGGCACGGUAAACUCCACCCGGAGCAAGGCCAAAUAGGGGUUCAUAAGGUACGGCCCGUACUGAACCCGGGUAGGCUGCUUGAGCCAGUGAGCGAUUGCUGGCCUAGAUGAAUGACUGUCCACGACAGAACCCGGCUUAUCGGUCAGUUUCGAUC